rnacentral:lncRNA from 1 species
UAUUUUAGUAUUUUAUUUUUAAAACAUCUAGUAGUAAGAUGUCUUCACUAAUUGAAAACCCAUCACAAUCUAAUCGCAUGUUUCUUUCUGUCUGAAGGUCACUGCACAAAUACGGAUGAAGCAUCUCCCAGGUGACGGGCGUAGUUCUGGGCGCUCAUACCUCAGUGAAUACACACGGACUCCUGUCGGCCUCAUUUGAGCAGUGGGGAGUGACAUGAUCAACAACAUACUUAAUAAGCUUUGCUUAAACACAUCAGAUGCUCAUAUUGAAUGGGAUUUAGAAGCAUGUCUUUUUAGAGGCACCCUGAGCCCUGCUCCGGGACUGAUUCUGGAUGCUGUCUGGGAUGACUUGGAUGAUACUGAUCUCCAUGAGGGCAGAGUGGGCUCUGCACUUGCUGGAUUUGCUCUAGUCUGGCUGGAGCAGACUCACUGGUAACCAACCUCUUAGAGUCAGCAAGGCCAGAUGGCGACUGGGGACAAGGGCAGUGAACAGAAAUGCUCUGUCUCCAGCAUGGCAUGAGACAAAUGUGAAGGAGGGAUUACCUGAGGGAGAUAUGAAACAAAAAGCCAACACCUGAUGGGCAGUGUCCCUCCCACCUCACUCCCUUGGAGUCUUAGAUGAAUCUUAACCUGUCCUGAAGAAGGAUGACACAGCAGCCAGAGUUUGAUCUGUGGAAGGAAUCGCUUUGUGCAUUUGAUGUUGAAAUACAUGCAGAUCCCCCAGGCCCUGGCUCCUGCUGGGGUCUUCCACGCCAGCUCAGGAGGGCCUCUACCUACAGGGAUUAGCCCCUGGGAAGGACUGCUCUCCCUGGCACCAUGAGGAUGGGGCUCUUGCCUCAGGUGGAGUAAUUCAGAGCUUGGCCACCAAGGUUUUGUCGUGAGCCCUUUGUGCUGGGCAGCACAGCUGAUUCCUUGUCUUGGAUUAUUCACAACCAGCUGCAGCCCCCCAGACUCCAGUGUGGUGAACACAGAGGAGAGGGCAGUUUUACACACAGCGUUGCCAAUGUACGUGCCUACCCCCAGUUCCUUAAAAACCAGGAGCUCUUGUCCUUGUCAAGUUCCAAUUACUGGGGUCCUUAACGUGACCACAGGUGGAAAAAUAGACCCUUGUAGCUUGGCUCCCUGCUGUGUUUAACUUGAAAGAUAUGCUUUAAAAAAAUCCCUGUGGAGAGUGAAAACUCCAUAGAGCCAGUCGGCGCCCUCCAUACAUUAGAAUAAUCAUCCUCGGUCCAAAUGCGUAGGGAAUUCUUUAUAAACAUCACAGUGAUGCUUGAAACAGGAAAUGCAAGUAGUUUGCAGCGAAGACACUCAAAAUGCAGUUUGACAGCAAUGGCACCCUUUCCCUUCUGAUAUUCAACUCCAAGUUUAAUUACUGCUCAGGGAGAUAUGGCUGAAGAGUUGCUAGCAUGUCGAAUUUUUCUAUUUCCAUUUCUUUCGCUGCUUUGACUUACAGAGUCAGUACCACUCUUUGAUCCAGGCAAGGGGGAUCCUGCCUCUGUCCUGCCCCUGGUGGCUGGAACCUUAAUGUUCUCUGGCCGUAGCUCCCUGAGCCUGGUCCUAGUGUCCCUGUCCUCAUCUCUCUCUUCUGGGAUAGUCUCCAAUCCACUCUCUGCAGGUGGGGUCGAACAGAUGGCCUGGAGCUAGGGGCCUUGCCUAGCAAGGCCAUCCCAUAGGGGUCACCUGGGACGCAGACCACUGUCACUGCCUGGGACAUGACUUCCUUUAUGGGAUCAUAUGAACUUGGGCAGCCAGAAUGAUGCUGAUGGACUAAUAUUGAGUAACUUAUGUUGUUUCUACAGAUAAGGGCCCUACCAAAAAAAUGGCUGCUCCCUGUUCCCUGCAGAGGGUGUGCAUGGAGUAAAAUUUCCACAAAUUCUAACGUCCUGAUAAUUUGGCCAGGAGACAGUUUGACAUUUAUCUUUAGACUAUUAAGUGUGAAAGUGGUCUGUUAGGUAAAUGAUAAGCAAACAAUGGAAAGGGGAAAAGGUUGAUGUGUUUAAGAGAAAAAAGUUACUUUGAGAAUCUUUAACGUUUCUGUCCAUCAGUGAUUGAUCUAAAUUUUAAUGAGUUCUCGUCAAUUAAUUACAGGCUCACACCUGUAAUCCCAGCACUUUGGGGGGCUGAGGCAGGCAGAUUACCUGAGGUCAGGAGUUCAAGACCAGCCUGGUCGACACGGUGAAACCCUGUCUCUACUAAAAAUGCAAAAAUUAGCCCAGCAUGGUGGCGGGCGCCUGUAAUCCCAGCUACUCGGGAGGCUGAGGCAGGAGAAUCACCUGAACCUGGAGGCGGAGGUUGCAGUGAGCCGAGAUUGCACCAUUGCACUCCAGCCCAGGCGACAAGAGCAAAACUCUGUCUCAAAGAAAAGAAAAAAAAGAAUAUAUGCUAUAACGACCUCUGGGCCGGGCGCGGUGGCUCAAGCCUGUAAUCUCAGCACUUUGGGAGGCCGAGACGGGUGGAUCACGAGGUCAGGAGAUCGAGACCAUCCUGGCUAACCCGGUGAAACCCCAUCUCUACUAAAAAAUACAAAAAACUAGCCGGGCGUGGUGGCGGGCGCCUGUAGUCCCAGCUACUCGGGAGGCUGAGGCAGGAGAAUGGCAUGAACCUGGGAGGUGGAGCUUGCAGUGAGCUGAGAUCCGGCCACUGCACUCCAGCUUGGGCGACAGAGCGAGACUCUGUCUCAAAAAAAAAACAAAAAAAAAACAAAAAAAAAACCAAGGACCUCUGUACUUAAUUGUAUAUACUUAAAAACUUUACAUUUAUCUUCAAAAUAAUCUCUUCAGACUUUCAGACCUUUGCACUGCUAUUUGCAAGCAAUGUUCAUGAAAUUAUGUGGGAUAUUUAGUGAUCCUCUCUCUUCAUUUAUGAUGGAUCUCCAGAUAGUUAUUGAUGUUUUAAAAAUACACACCUGUUUAAUUUUGUUCCUCCCUUUUUACUUUCCCCAACCCUCACAAAAAGACAGCAUUUGGAAAAUUUAGCAGACACUAGGCUGGGAUCGGGGGGGCAAAUUCAACAUCUGACUCUGGAGCAAGCCUUUUCCCUUCUCUGUUCUUCCGGGUCCUCGUUUGUGUAACACAUGCUCUUAGACUGGGUCCAUGGUUUUUGAAAAUAUUUCGGUCAUAGAAUCCGUU